rnacentral:lncRNA from 1 species
UUUGAGGUGAAUUUGAAUAUCACACGCUGUAUUUAACAAAGAAAAAAGGAAUAAUUCAAGAAUUUCAGUUUUAUGUGAGUAGCUAUGUGAACAGAAACCUAGCUAGGUAGAACUGCUAGAUGUAAAAAAAAUCGCCAACAUGAUAUUAUAUUAUUUUUACUUGGUUGACAAUUUGCAUAUAUGAAUACAAUUCAUACGUGGCUAUGUUAAUAGGUAUUCAUUGUAUAAAACAUUUUAUUCGUUGUAAAGUACGAUGGAGACAAGCGAAGCAAGUAAAACGUAACGUGCAUGCAUC